GACGAACGCUGGCGGCGUGCUUAACACAUGCAAGUCGAACGGAAAGGCCCUGCUUUUGUGGGGUGCUCGAGUGGCGAACGGGUGAGUAACACGUGAGUAACCUGCCCUUGACUUUGGGAUAACUUCAGGAAACUGGGGCUAAUACCGGAUAGGAGCUCCUGCUGCAUGGUGGGGGUUGGAAAGUUUCGGCGGUUGGGGAUGGACUCGCGGCUUAUCAGCUUGUUGGUGGGGUAGUGGCUUACCAAGGCCUUGACGGGUAGCCGGCCUGAGAGGGUGACCGGCUACAUUGGGACUGAGAUACGGCCCAGACUCCUACGGGAGGCAGCAGUGGGGAAUAUUGCACAAUGGGCGGAAGCCUGAUGCAGCAACGCCGCGUGCGGGAUGACGGCCUUCGGGUUGUAAACCGCUUUCGCCUGUGACGAAGCGUGAGUGACGGUAAUGGGUAAAGAAGCACCGGCUAACUACGUG
rnacentral:rRNA from 1 species